rnacentral:rRNA from 1 species
AUGGUUCAUUUGAUUGGAGGCAAUUUCCAUGAGAAAUGGAGCCGAAAAGCUACUCAUGCUAUAUGCAAUAUGUUCAAUGGUGAAAUAUACGAGAAAGCUGAUGAACGUGGUAUUCCAAUCGUGAAUCACAGUUGGCUUUCGGACAGUCUAAAUGCAGGGGUCAUUCUUCCAUGUGACAAAUAUUGUGUACCUGGUCAGGAAGUUCAGCAAUGUGAGGAUAAUUUCAAAAGAGCAUAUGAACAUCUAUCAGAGACUGGUCAAACUGAGAUAAAAAGCAAAUCAUCUGGAGCAAAAACACCAGAUGGCAGAUCAAUAAGCAUUAGAGCAGACAGGUUAACACAGUCAACGGGUAACAAAAAGCUGAGGGUUGAAACAAACUUCAUCUCUAAACCAAAGAUCGUCCGUACCUUGCAGUUCAAGUCCGACAAGAAGACUUCUCUUGAUAACUAUGUUAAACCCGACGACCGGGUUGUCUCCAUCAUAUACCCAGAUGAGGAGAUCCCUCGGGACUUAACUGCUCCAAUCUUGAAAAGGGUUCUACGGAAAUCAUAUCUUCCACUUGGCCGUUUGCACGUAGAGAAUCUAUCCCUAGGAGGAAAGUUCGGCUGCCACAACUUUAUGGUCUCUGAUCCUCACGAGACUGUAGAGCUGUGCGAUGUCAUUACAGAGGAGCUGACACCUGAAGGUAGAAAGGCAGACAAGAAGGCCUUUGUGAAAAUGGUGAAGGGUCUUUUCGAAUGGGUGCCAAGGGAUGUCAGGGUCUGGUUGCAGAACAUUGAGGAUGGCUGGGAUGACGCUCUUCUGAUGAAUCACAUCUACAUGUUUGACUCAGACUCAACAUUCGGCCAGUUCAUCACUUUGUACCAAGGUGUGCUGAAGCUGAAGGAGAAGGGAGGUCAGAAGUACAAAGACUUCAUCGAGCUUCCUCGCAUGCAAAGCUACAACGGUUGGCAUGCUAUCGGGUUUAAGUGGAAAAUUCUUCGUGCUAACAUGGACUACAUAGAUCCAAGAGAAGAACAGCUCGAUGUACUUGAGAAAGCAAGACUGGAGCUGAAGAGAGAGAAGGAUCCCUCAAGGAAGAACGUGUUUGGUCUCCUGAGGACAGUCAAGAAUACUUGGUCGCACCCUGCGAGGCACUUGCAAGAAUUCUUCCUAGCCAUCAUGAUUAGUGAGUACUUGCAGCUACUAUCGGAUGUCCAGAAAGCACUGUAUGACUGUGGGUAUUAUGGACAGAAUCUGAGCCUCAUGGACUUCCCCUGA